rnacentral:pre_miRNA from 1 species
AAUAAACCAAUUUCUGCAUUUUUAAUUGAAUUUUUGACUCUUCGUCUUAUUUGAAAUUUUUUAUGAUUAAUAUUUUUAUUAUUAUUACAUGAUAAAACAUGAAUAGUACUUUGCAUGUGACUAUUUUUUUUAAUUUUUUAAUAAAUUCUUCAAAUAAAACGGAUGGACAAACGCUAUAUAGGCAAAACUCAGA